CUCUUCCCCCGCGUCGCCCUCUCUCCUUCUUUUUCUGAUUUCUUCACCGUUCGGCGUCCGAUGGACGUGAUUCCAGUUGUCCUUGGACCGUCUCUUCCUCCUCUACACGAUGGUACCAGUGGGUAUCGGCGAUUUGGCCGGCAAACCCCGAAUUUAUGCAAGCAUUGUUACUGUAGCAGUUUGCUUCUCCAGCGAAAUUCUCCAGUUUCCGGCUAUCUUCGGCGGUGAAAUUGGCUCUAUUAGGAGCGCCUCGGGUCACUGAUCAUCUUCCCUCAAGACUUCUAGUUGGAAUUUCCACGUUUGGAAGGUGAAUUUGAAGGAUUUCCAAAUUUGUGGGUUUGGAGAUUUCCGGGUUUGUGUUCAUCGGCAAAAUUGGAGCAUUUCAAGGGCGAUAUACCGAACUAUUGCUCGAUGAAGGAACUCGUAUGCGUGAUCGCCUAAAUAGUACUUUUGCAGGCCAGUUUAGCUUGAGGUCGAGCGUACUUGGGGUUGAGGCAUAGCUGUCAUAGCUUCCGCAUUAUAAAAGUAUCGGUCAUUUAUCUUGCUUUCUAUUCUCUUGUUCGCUUGUACAUUAGAUUGCUCUGAUAACCUAUGAGAUUAAUAUUCUUAAAUUCAGAAUUGUUUAUGAAAUGAGAGAUGUGAGAUGUUGUGAUAUAGGGAGCAGGGUGGCUCCAGGAAAAUAAGGAUGGAUGAUUUGGAAGUGUGGAUGUUUUUCUACAGGUUUUGGGUUGUCCAUUUUUAGGGGAAGUUCUGUCAAAUUGUUGGUAGAAUUUCUUCUAAAGUGGG